AUGAGAGCGCAUUCGAUGGGCGGGGAUGGGAGGGCUGGAAAUUGACAGGGUGAGAACUGGGGAGACUAAUCCCUCCCACCCGGUCCCCGCUCGUCACUCACCCCCUAGUUGAGGGCCUGGGCCUUUGCAUAAUGUCGACGCGCCUGGAGAGGAGGGUGCUUCCCAACGGCUCCCGUUCGACCCCCAACCCCGGGCCAAGGGCACGGAGAGAGGCUGAGGACGAGCAGGAGAGAGAGCAUGCCAUAUGACAGGCUUCUGGAAACAGAUCCCAUGCCAACUUGGAUUCUGUCCUUCUCUCCAAUAAAAGGAACUUUUCGCUUGUG